rnacentral:rRNA from 1 species
GACGAACGCUGGCGGCGUGCUUAACACAUGCAAGUCGAGCGGAAAGGCCCUUUCGGGGGUACUCGAGCGGCGAACGGGUGAGUAACACGUGAGUAAUCUGCCCUUCACUUUGGGAUAACUACCGGAAACGGUGGCUAAUACCGGGUACGACAGCUCCACGCAUGUGGUGGUUGUGGAAAGUUUUUUCGGUGGGGGAUGUGCUCGCGGCCUAUCAGCUUGUUGGUGGGGUAAUGGCCUACCAAGGCUUCGACGGGUAGCCGGCCUGAGAGGGUGACCGGCCACACUGGGACUGAGACACGGCCCAGACUCCUACGGGAGGCAGCAGUGGGGAAUAUUGGACAAUGGGCGGAAGCCUGAUCCAGCAACGCCGCGUGAGGGAUGACGGCCUUCGGGUUGUAAACCUCUUUCAGUACCGACGAAGCGCCGGUAAUGGUGGUGACGGUAGGUACAGAAGAAGCACCGGCCAACUACGUGCCAGCAGCCGCAGUAACAC